rnacentral:rRNA from 1 species
CCUACGGGUGGCAGCAGUAGGGAAUAUUGCUCAAUGGGGGAAACCCUGAAGCAGCAACGCAGCGUGGAGGAUGACGGUUUUCGGAGUUUUAACUCCCUUUGAUAGAGAAGAUAAUCACGGUAUGUAAAGAAUAUGCCCUGGCUAACUCCGUGACAGCAGCCGCGGUACUGCGGAGGGAGCAAGCGUUAUCCGGUAUAACUGGGCGUAAAGAGGGCGUAGGCGGGUUAGCAAGUCAGAUGUGAAAUCCUAUGGCUUAACCAUAGAACUGCAGGUGAAACUGUCAUGCUAGAGUAUGGGAGAGGUAGGUGGAAUUCGUGGUGUAGCGGUAAAAUGCGUAGAUAUGAAGAAGAAUACUCAUUGCGAAGGCGACCUGCUAGAACGUAACUGACGCUGAUGCUCGAAAGCGUGGGGAGCAAACAGGAUUAGAUACCCGAGUAGUC